CCUACGGGAGGCAGCAGUGAGGAAUAUUGGUCAAUGGGCGAGCGCCUGAACCAGCCAAGUCGCGUGAAGGAUGACGGCCCUACGGGUUGUAAACUUCUUUUGUCAGGGAGCAAUUGAGUCCACGUGUGGUCUUAGCGAGAGUAACUGAAGAAAAAGCAUCGGCUAACUCAGUGCCAGCAGCCGCGGUAAUACGGAGGAGGCGAGCGUUAUCCGGAUUUAUUGGGUUUAAAGGGUGGGUAGGCGGAAUAUCAAGUCAGCGGGAAAAAUUCGGGGCUCAACCCCGUCGUGCCGUUGAAACUGAUUAUCUUGAGUGGGCGAGAAGUAUGCGGAAUGCGUGGUGUAGCGGUGAAAUGCAUAGAUAUCACGCAGAACGCCGAUUGCGAAGGCAGCAUACCGGCGCCCAACUGACGCUGAAGCACGAAAGCGUGGGAAUCGAACAGGAUUAGAUACCCGAGUAGUC
rnacentral:rRNA from 1 species